GAGUUUGAUCGUGGCUCAGAACGAACGCUGGCGGCAUGCCUAACACAUGCAAGUCGAACGCCCCGGGCAACCGGGGAGUGGCGGACGGGUGAGUAACGCGUGGGAACCUGCCUCGAAGUUCGGAAUAACCGCGGGAAACUGCGGCUAAUACCGGAUGUGGCCUGAGGGCCAAAGGGGAAACUCGCUUCGAGAGGGGCCCGCGUUCGAUUAGCUAGUUGGUGAGGUAACGGCUCACCAAGGCGACGAUCGAUAGCUGGUCUGAGAGGAUGAUCAGCCACACUGGGACUGAGACACGGCCCAGACUCCUACGGGAGGCAGCAGUGGGGAAUAUUGGACAAUGGGGGCAACCCUGAUCCAGCAAUGCCGCGUGAGUGAUGAAGGCCUUCGGUU
rnacentral:rRNA from 1 species